GGAGGAAAGCAGGGGAUCGCAAGACCUUGCGCUUUUGGAGUGGCCGAUGCCUGAUUAGCUAGUUGGUGGGGUAAUGGCCUACCAAGGCGACGAUCAGUAGUUGGUCUGAGAGGACGACCAGCCACACUGGGACUGAGACACGGCCCAGACUCCUACGGGAGGCAGCAGUGGGGAAUUUUGGACAAUGGGCGAAAGCCUGAUCCAGUAAUGUCGCGUGAGUGAAGAAGGCCUUCGGGUUGUAAAGCUCUUUCAGUCGAGAAGAAAAGGUUGUGACUAAUAAUCACAACUCAUGACGGUAUCGACAGAAGAAGCACCGGCUAACUACGUGCCAGCAGCCGCGGUAAUACGUAGGGUGCGAGCGUUAAUUGGAAUUACUGGGCGUAAAGGGUGCGCAGGCGGCUUUGUAAGUCAGAUGUGAAAUCCCCGGGCUUAACCUGGGAAUUGCGUUUGAAACUACAAAGCUAGA
rnacentral:rRNA from 1 species